CGUCGUCCGUCGUGGUUAACUUUUACAAAAAUCUUCUCCUCUAAAACUACUUGGCCAAAUUAAACCAAACUUGGCCACAAUCAUCAUUGGGGUAUCUAGUUUAAAAAAUGUGUUGCGUGACCCGGCCAACCAACCAAGAUGGCCGCCAUGGCUAAAAAUAGAACAUCGGGGUAAAAUGCAGUUUUUGGCUUAAAACUCAACAUGCUCAAAAACCAAAGCAUUUAGAGCACAUCUGACAAGGUAAUAUUGUUUAUCAGCUCAAGAUCUAUCUGCCCUAAAAUUUUCAGAUGAAUCAGACAUUACGCUGUUAGGUUGCUGCCCCUUAAAUG
rnacentral:lncRNA from 1 species